UUUCUCUUCCCAUUGUCAUUCGCGCCUAGUGCUCACACCACAGGGUGGCAUCCUUCGCUGCCAAAAAGUCUUGGGGAAAGGCCCCGAGACACCGGUCACUCUGCCUCGGCGCCGCCCUCUCCUGUGGAAAAGCGGAGACGAAAACAGCGGCACGCGCACGGCUGCACCUCUGAGUUUCCCCUCCCCGCCCUGUCCCUCUGUUCCGCGCGCCUCCCAGCCUUGGUCGUGAACGGGGGUGCCGAAUUUGGCACCUUGGUCUUGUGACGCUGGACAUUACAAACACGUGCACCACGACUGAGCAUCUUUCUCACACCCGCUUCAGAGUCGAAUCACAAAGCAGAACGCGAUAAGAGGCGGUUCUCGCACCAGCGUUCGCGGCACGCAAGCUGGGCCUCUCAGAGACGGCGACGGUGACGGCGAUGGCAGCAGAUACAGCUGUGCCCAGUAACUGCGAUGGCGCAUUGGAGAAGCAUUUUCGCCCCAUUGUCUUCCUCCUUAACUCGCACACUCCAGACAACGUCGACGCGGCAACGGUCGCCGAUCUUCUCCAUCCCUUCUUCAGAAAGGACGACUACUAUGUCGUGAAUGCUUCCACCGUCGCAAACCCGAUCGGGAUUCUGAGAGAGGCGAAGAAAUCCUUAUCGAGUGAAGCGUCAUUGCAGGCUGCUGCAGCCUCGCUGCAAGACCGCCUUAGCGCUGCCGUGCAGAGCGCACUAACCAAUAUCGCCGCAACGCGACGGGAAGCACAGCAGGCGGCGUUGCAAGCGAAGGAGGCGCAGCUGUCCGCGUUGCAAGCAGACUACGUGGAGGAUGGCCUGUCCGCGGAAGAGGCGCGGGCCGCAGCGCAUGCCGAGCUACAAGAACGUUCCGAGUCAGAGGGCGAGGAGAGCUACUCGAGCGCCGGUGAACGUCUUCCGCCAGCUGUGUGUGUGGUAAACGCACCUUUGUUGCCCGCAGCUGUAGCCCGACUGGCAUGCGACGUGGGCGGCUUGGCUGCCGUAGUGCUGCUGGAAUCACCGUGCAGUGUGCGCGAGUUGGUCUCCGUUGCUGGCGCUGGCGGUCGCAAAAGCAGCACCAGCGUCGCCGCGUCGAACGCCCCGAAUGACCGGGCGAAGGGGCGCGGCCCAGGUGCCGGUGCCGCAGCCGCCUCGUCCUCUUCCACAAGCAAGCAGCACCACUUCUCCGCAGCGGCGGGCGGUAGUGCGGAAGAUCUGUUGGCGGCCCUUGGCCGAGCCGCGCUUGCACAACCAGACGACAACGCCUUCCAGGAUGUUUUGCUGCAGCACGUGCCUUAUCCAACGGAGAGAGCGAACAGCACAGACGCCAGCCCAGAAUCCCCGGCUCUCUUGCGUCCUUCCAUUCCGGCGGCGCAGUUUUUACCCACUCUACACGCACUCCUGCUGCGCAUUUUUUCCUGCUGGGUGCGGUACAACGCGUGGCGAGCGAGACGAUUUCUUGUGCAGGUGCCAGCCUACACGCCCCUAAUCGACUCCGAAGCGGCGUUGUCUGCGGUGGCAGGCGAAGAUGCCUUGGCUGCUGCAGCGGCCGCGGAGCAACGCCCCAACAAGCGCAAGAGCGGCGGCCCCGGUGGGCAUGAGGACAACGUUCCUUUGCCGAUCUCAACCAAGCUCCCCACCACGACGCCGCGCCCAUGCACCAUGGCGCAAGUUGCUGCCGAGCAAUUUGAGUACACAGCGUACAUGCAGCGCUGGAUGCGCAGCGCCUCUCACGGGAGCACCGACAACGUGCUUGCGGCCGGGGAGGCGGUGCAGGCGUGCCUUAAGGGCUGCCUGUGUCAGGUGGCCUCAUUGAAGGGCUCGUCUACACUACGCACCUCUGCCGACACCUCUGCAGCGCAGCUUGGUGAGGAUAUCGCGGACGCCUGUGCCAGGUGCCGCAUCGCAGUCGCUGUGUCCUCUGGUGCGUCAUUGCGGCCUCCGAAGGACGGUGUUGAAGCGGCUUGCCAGGACAAGGGGGCAGCCACUUGCGGUGCGACGCCCAUCUCCGCUCCGGCGUCCGCCGGACUCACUGCCGAUUCCGUUGAGGAGGCCCUCGCGCACAUUGUCACGGAAGAAGUCGGAUCGGCUGCGCUGCCGAGCGUCACUACAGCGUUGAUUACAACUGCCGGAGAUGGAGACGCUCUGCACUGGAUGCGCGACGCGUUGCUGGCGCGUGACCACCAUGGGUGGCACACUGCCGUGCAGAGGUGGGGGAGAACCGCUGUGUACUGUCUGCAUCAGCAGACGCACGCCAUCGGCGCACCACGUACCCAGCACACUGCGCACCUCCUCGACAGCCCCACUACUUUCCCUCGCUUCUUUCGUGAAGAGGAAUUCCUUGAGGCAGAGGGCCGCCACUACGCACCGUCGUCAUUGAGCGAUGACACGGAGAAGGAUGAGGAGGAGUCGGAGUCGGACUCAUCGUCUGAGGAGACGACGUCAGACUCGUGUGGCGACGACACCGCUAGCGCUGCGGAGGACGCGGCCACCAAGAUGGUGCCUACAGCCGUUCGUGAGAUGCCCCCUGCGUGCCCUACAGUCGACCACGUAGAUAUUGUGAGCCAGCACCUGCGUCGGCGGCGUGUGCUGGAGCAGGUACGCUUGUCCCACGCUCGGCCUCCUGUGCAAGAGCUCAUGGGCUGCGCUACGCCAUGCCGCACCGUGGUCACAGAGACGCAGUGGAUGCGGGCAGCCGACGGCACGCUCGUGGAGGUGGCCCGAACCGCUGCGAACAGUGCACAGGUGCGAUGUACUAUCGUCGACGCUGGCAUAGAUCUCGAAGCUGGGUUCAUGCUGGACUGCCCACCGCCGACCGUCGACGACUUCGCGAAAGCGACGGCUGUAGACGUGCGUGCGAGUGGGUCGCUGCCAGAGCCGCUCCUCUCAUCGGCAGUCCGCGGCUUUUUGUCGCUGGGACGCGAACUUCGAGUCAUCACAGAGGUGGUCGCAGACAACGCACAGGCUGUGGCCCAGGCCGCCUAUGCUGCCGCCGUCGCCGCCGCCAAGGAGGCUGCCGUCACCCAAUACGAGGCGCAGUUCAGACGCGUCGGAAAGGCCUCCAAGUCUCGCGAGGAGGCAAAAGCUGCUAAUCAGCUCACUUUGGAACAAAUCACUAAAACACUGCUGGAUGCACUACCGUCACCUCCGCCUCCACCGCCCCCUGAGGGCGGCGACGGGAAGACCGCUGCAGCGCGAAUAGUAAUGCGGGUGCACGCUUGCUUCCUUCUGCACGACUGCGUCAUGACGGCCGCGGCGCCGAAGGCCGGGGCUCCAGGGGUUCAGCUCCGAUGCCUGAAGCCCAGCCAGCACACUGCACACCUUCCACGGCGCAGACUCCUCUCCGUGCAGCUGUGGAACGAAGGCGUGGUGAGCACUGUCGCGCUCACCCACCUGCAAGCUAUCGACGUCUAUCUCGACGGCGUGGUGGAGGUGCACUCGCCCGAUCUCGCAGCUGGCGUGCGCCUGCUGCUCUACAAGAAUGGCAGCUACGUUACUGUUUCUGGUCGGUGCCAGCUGCUUGUCUCCCCCGACGGCCGCGUCACCCGCUACGAGAACGGCGAAGGUGGACGUCUCGUGCAUAAACUUCAGCGCGGGCGUGCAACUGCAGUCAGCGCGCCAGCCGUGCAUCGCGUGGAGCGGGAAGAUGGACUGCAUCUGGAGGUGAUAGAGCCCAGCGGCGCAGACGACGAUGGGCAGGCAAGCUUGAUACCGUGCAGCCUGGGUCAUGUCCGCUGCAUCCGCUUUGGCACUGGGGUGGUGGUCGAGCAGGGCGACAAGGACGGCAUGUGGUCAUGGAGAUUCGUUGGGCUGCCAACCGUGUACUGUGACGUCGCGGCCUACCAGAUUUCCGCAGCGAUCGGCAAAGGUGAGUGCGACCGGCUCGCAUACCAGCCACGCACCGACUCCUUCUCUCUCUUCCUGAACGACAGCGAGGCGGAGGGCGCUAGGGUGGCCGCCGAUGUGGCAAUGAGCAGCUGCCGCAUAUCUGUCUUCACGCAAGGCUGCGAUUUGUCCACCGCGCGCACCGACCAGGGAGACCGCACCGGCGUUUUUGCGGUGGAUUGUGCGUACGGCGGCGUCUACGGACGCGUGGGUGCCGACCGUGUGUACCGCGUUUCGCCGUUCGGGCGGUGCUCUGAGGAGGUCGAGCACGGUGGCGAUCUGCGCUAUCGCCAGUUAGUGCUGCCAGAGCACUACAAGAGACCAAAGAAGACGGCAGAGGCGCUAUUGCUGCCAGAGUAUGCGAGCCCCAGCUUUCGUCGCGCCGUCGCUGGCGAGGGCGGCGAUCUGACCACAGUGCCCAGCGCAGACCACACAGACGCCCUUCACCUGCAAGCGGUACCGCUGCUUUUGCCCAAGGAGCCUGCGCGCAUCUCCGCGAGUACGGCGGCGUCUCCCUAUAGCACGUUGGCUGUCCAGCAUCCUGCUGCAUGUGUGCCACUCCAGCUGCGCUGCAUCGCGCUGCAGGAAGACGGCUCGCAGGUCACGGUACUUGAUGCAGCGUCCUGGCUGGAGUGGGUGAUGUGGUGGCAGCGCCACAGCAGUUGGGCCCCCCAAUACUCUUCACCGACGCCGGAGGAGCGCCCCUUCAGACUCAUCAGAGCUUUGCGGGCACGGCAGGCGUUUGUGCCCUUCACUGAGCCCGGCGCAGAAAACGUGCCGGCGGAGGCGUCUGUAGUGCAGGAAUGCGUGCUGCGGCUGCCUUCCCGUGAGGCUGCCUCGGCGCCGUCUUGGUGUGCUGCUGGUAGUCUCGCGCGGACUAGUGCCGUGAGCGGCGUCACUGGUGCCGCCGAUGAGGAGGACACUGCACCUGCGGCAGCGGUAGCCGAGGUAGCUGUGCCAUUGGACGCUGCACCAGUCUCCCCUAUCGUGGCGCGUGAGGAGGAGCAGGUGCCCAUGGCCGCACUCACGGACGGUCACUGCGUGACCGAAUUGCCUGCCGCGGUAGGCCGGCGCGGUGGCUCGCUGAACUACUGGACAUCCGCGCUAUGCCCGCAGGCGCUGCAGCCCUCUCGGGACAGCUCCAGGACUGAGAACGGGGUCGCCAUGCCAAUGGCGCAGACGCACACGGCGAACCUGUCGGCCGAUGCGGCCACGUCCGAAGCCCCGGCGCCACCGUCCCCGGCAGUACCAGCCGCUAUGCCGAAGAAGAAGUUGUCUUGGCAGUCGUCGAAGGUGCCUCUGAUGCACUCGUAUCAUCCUGCGGCGGACGAGCUCACUGGAACCAACGCCUCUUCGCGAUUUCACACUCCACGGCUGGAGGUGCAUCCGAGGAAGGUGGAAUUCGGCAACGUGCUUCCUCUGCGCAGGUACGUGACGACGGUGAGGUUGACCAAUGCGUCGACGGUACCGUGUCGCUACCGUGUCCGCGUCGGCGCGGUGGUGCGCCCUUUCCUCUCCGUCUCCUACUCGCGUCAGUUUGUGGCGCCUGGUAUCACGACAGAGAUGCACGUUGAGCUGUCUGGCAGCCAGCCUUACGGCGUGAUGGAUUCCCACAUCAGUAUUGUGCACGAAGGCGGUACAGUGGAGGUGAACGUGUGGUGGUGCACGACUGACGAGGCGGAUACAGCGCGUCUGGGUGACGGCGUAACGUGCGCUGGCUGGACGGUGCACAAACCGGCGAUUCAACAUCCACGCAUGCCUGAACAGGAGACAGAGCAGACCGAUGAUAGGAGCACCCUCUCCGACACCGAUGUGGCACUAGACGUGCGCACCGCGUAGCUUCGUGACACUUGGGCGUAAGUGCAGCAUGGCACAACCGACAUGUGCCUCUGCCCCCAUGUGUGCAAACGUGUUUUUUUUUUCGUGGUGUGUUGGCCCGGUUUACGCGGCAAAAGCAAAGAGAAAACCUUUUCGUGGUAGUUUCCGGCCCUUCUGCACCACCCCCUCCCCCUUUCCCACCAUUUUGUGACGCAGGUGUAUGUGUGAGUGUUUCUGUGCUGCGUGUCGGACCUUGCUGUGUCUCGCCCCCUCCCCUCCUUCCUUCUCCCCACCCCUCCCUCCUCACUCCGCGCUCCAGCGCCAAAUGUAAAGUACGGCCUCCUCUCCUUUUGGCUACUCUUUUUUUUUUCUGUUUGUUUGAUGUAGUGGCUGUAGCUGGUGCAACCGGGGCGUGUGCGCAUGCGCGCGUGCUGGCGGGCCGGACCGCCGUAAUUUCGACCCUACGCAGUCUCUCUCCUACCGUGAGAAGAUGAAAAGCAACAAUUCGCAAAGGUGCCGUGGCGCUCGAGGACGUCCGUAGGAAGACGGGAGAACGAGAUGGGGUUCGCUAUAUUCUUGUGCACGUCUCAGCCGGUCAAACAAAUCGCACAACUCCAGCGCUCACGCGCCCACCAAUUUCAUUUGUCUGGUGCAUCUGGGAUGCUUUGGGCCGCGGCGGCAUAAGCGACCCCAUGC
rnacentral:misc_RNA from 1 species